GCCUGGGUGGCUCAGUGGUUGAGCGUCUGCCUUCAGCUGAGGGCAUGAUUCCAGAGUCUUGGGAUCAAGUCCCACAUCGGGCU
rfam:Canis lupus familiaris chromosome 2, whole genome shotgun sequence.